CAGCCGCCGCGGGAAUACGUAGGGUGCAAGCGUUAAUCGGAAUUACUGGGCGUAAAGCGUGCGCAGGCGGUUUGUUAAGACAGAUGUGAAAUCCCCGGGCUCAACCCGGGAACUGCAUUUGUGACUGGCAAGCUAGAGUGUGGCAGAGGGGGGUGGAAUUCCGCGCGUAGCAGUGAAAUGCGUAGAUAUGCGGAGGAACACCGAUGGCGAAGGCAGCCCCCUGGGCCAACACUGACGCUCAUGCACGAAAGCGUGGGGAGCAAACAGGAUUAGAUACCCCUGUAGUCCCUGUCUCUUAUAC
rnacentral:rRNA from 1 species